rnacentral:misc_RNA from 1 species
GAUGAAGAACGCAGCGAAAUGCGAUAAGUAAUGUGAAUUGCAGAAUUCAGUGAAUCAUCGAAUCUUUGAACGCACAUUGCGCCCGCCAGCAUUCUGGCGGGCAUGCCUGUCCGAGCGUCAUUUCAACCCUCAUGCCCCUAGGGCGUGGUGUUGGGGAUCGGCCAAAGCCCGCGAGGGACGGCCGGCCCCUAAAUCUAGUGGCGGACCCGUCGUGGCCUCCUCUGCGAAGUAGUGAUAUUCCGCAUCGGAGAGCGAUGAGCCCCUGCCGUUAAACCCCCAACUUUCCAAGGUUGACCUCAGAUCAGGUAGGAAUACCCGCUGAACUUAAGCAUAUCAAUAAGCGGAGGA